rnacentral:rRNA from 1 species
GACGAACGCUGGCGGCGUGCUUAACACAUGCAAGUCGAACGAUGACGACCGAGCUUGCUCGGUCUGAUUAGUGGCGAACGGGUGAGUAACACGUGAGCAACCUGCCCUUCACUCUGGGAAACCCCGGGAAAUCGGGGCUUAUACCGGAUAUGAGGUGCUGUCGCAUGGGGGGUGUUGGGAAGUUUUUCGGUGAAGGAUGGGCCCGCGGCCUAUCCGUUUGUUGGGGGGGUAGUGGCACACCAAGGCGAUGACGGGUAGCCGGCCUGAGAGGGCGACCGGCCACACUGGGACUGAGACACGGCCCAGACUCCUACGGGAGGCAGCAGUGGGGAAUAUUGCACAAUGGGCGAAAGCCUGAUGCAGCGACGCCGCGUGAGGGAUGACGGCCUUCGGGAUGUAAACCUCUUUCAGCAGGGAAGAAGCGAAAGUGACGGUACCUGCAGAAGAAGCGCCGGCUAACUACGUG